GGAAUAUCGUUUUUAGGGCUAGGCAUGUGCAGGGCUUGUUGAACGUUGUAGCUGACGCACUGUCUCGUUCACAGUGGGAGCGUUUUCGGGAGGCAGCAACGAGCGCACAGGAAACAGGACAGGCGGCUUGGGGGCUUGGGGGCUUGAUAAGGAGUUCAUUGGCGCCAGGCACCUGGGCGGCAUACACCAAAGUUUGGACCGACUGGGAGAUGACGGUAGGGCAGACGGGAGUGGGUGACUCCGCGGCAGGUAGGUUGGACGCGCUAUUAUGGUGGUUGUGUCGGUUACUAGCGGGUGGGGCCUCUCCCUCUAAGGUGGAG